rnacentral:rRNA from 1 species
CCUACGGGAGGCAGCAGUGGGGAAUAUUGCACAAUGGGGGAAACCCUGAUGCAGCAACGCCGCGUGAGCGAUGAAGGCCUUCGGGUCGUAAAGCUCUGUCCUAAGGGAAGAAUACUGACGGUACCUUAGGAGGAAGCCCCGGCUAACUACGUGCCAGCAGCCGCGGUAAUACGUAGGGGGCAAGCGUUAUCCGGAAUCACUGGGUGUAAAGGGUGCGUAGGCGGUAGGGCAAGUCAGAUGUGAAAGCCCGGGGCUCAACCCCGGGACUGCAUUUGAAACUGUCUUACUAGAGCGCAGGAGAGGAAAGCGGAAUUCCUAGUGUAGCGGUGAAAUGCGUAGAUAUUAGGAAGAACACCAGUGGCGAAGGCAAUCCCCUGGACCUGUACUGACGCUCAUGCACGAAAGCGUGGGGAGCAAACAGGAUUAGAUACCCUAGUAGUC